rnacentral:tRNA from 1 species
UUGAAUUUGGUGUAAAGCACAUAAGUUUUUCCUACUUGAAGUAAUAUAAGGUUAUUAAUUCAAA